AUGAACGCUGGCGGCGUGCCUAAUACAUGCAAGUCGAGCGAACAGACGGGGAGCUUGCUCCUCUGACGUUAGCGGCGGACGGGUGAGUAACACGUGGAUAACCUACCUAUAAGACUGGGAUAACUUCGGGAAACCGGAGCUAAUACCGGAUAACAUGUUGAACCGCAUGGUUCAACAGUGAAAGACGGUCUUGCUGUCACUUAUAGAUGGAUCCGCGCCGCAUUAGCUAGUUGGUAAGGUAACGGCUUACCAAGGCAACGAUGCGUAGCCGACCUGAGAGGGUGAUCGGCCACACUGGAACUGAGACACGGUCCAGACUCCUACGGGAGGCAGCAGUAGGGAAUCUUCCGCAAUGGGCGAAAGCCUGACGGAGCAACGCCGCGUGAGUGAAGAAGGUCUUCGGAUCGUAAAACUCUGUUAUUAGGGAAGAACAAAUGUGUAAGUAACUAUGCACGUCUUGACGGUACCUAAUCAGAAAGCCACGGCUAACUACGUG
rnacentral:rRNA from 1 species